GUGCUUGCUUCAGCAGCACACAUACUAAAAAUUGGAACAAUACAGAGAAGAUUUGCAUGGCCCCUGCGCAAGGAUGACAUGCAAAUUCAUGAAGUGUUCCAUAUUAAA
rnacentral:snRNA from 1 species